CCUACGGGAGGCUGCAGCGAGGAAUAUUGGUCAAUGGACGCAAGUCUGAACCAGCCAUGCCGCGUGCAGGAGGACGGCUCUAUGAGUGGUAAACUGCUUUUGUACGAGGGUAAACGCGGAUACGCGUAUCUGUCUGAAAUUAUCGUACUAAUAAGGAUCGGCUAAUGCCGUGCCAGCAGCCGCGGUAAUACGGAGGAUUCAAGCGUUAUCCGGAUUUAUUGGGUUUAAAGGGUGCGUAGGCGGUCGGAUAAGUUAGAGGUGAAAUCCCGAGGCUCAACUUCGGAAUUGCCUCUGAUACUGUUCGGCUAGAGAGUAGUUGCGGUAGGCGGAAUGUAUGGUGUAGCGGUGAAAUGCUUAGAGAUCAUACAGAACACCGAUUGCGAAGGCAGCUUACCAAGCUACUUCUGACGUUGAGGCACGAAAGCGUGGGGAGCAAACAGGAUUAGAUACCCCAGUAGUC
rnacentral:rRNA from 1 species